rnacentral:lncRNA from 1 species
UAAGGCCAGAACCUUCAGUGCCAGGGUAGUUCCCCUAAAUCCCAGGGGCAACUGGUUCAGCUAUUAGUCUCAGGGAGAAAGGUAUGGCUGCCCCCAUUUCUUUUUCUUACGGUUCUGACAAGGCUUCUGGAACUGCUGAGUCCUCUCCGUGAUGUUCCUCUGGCCUAAAGCCAGCGUGCCGAGUGCUCAGGCCUUCCGCCUCGGCCAGCUUCUGAGCCAGCUCCAGACCCUCUGGUGUGAGUGCAUACCUGGGAGGUGAGGGACACAUGAAGUUCCGUCUUCUUUAUCCCUGGCACGCUCUCUUUCUGUCCAUUAGGUGAGCCUGGAUAGAAGUUCAGUGGCUCUCCAUCUCCUCUGUGUCCUUGUCCCUCAGGUCAACUUCCUCAGGACCUCCCUAGUUGUGUCUCAGCUUUGUGAUGUGUCUCCCAAGUCCUUCCCCUGUCUUCACUCAGCACCACACCGUCCUCCCUCCCCUCAGAGGAUUAUACUUUCCAGAUCUCCAAUAUCAGGCUCUUUAGCAGGCAGGCUGGCCAUCCCCAGGCUCAGUAGCACCAGGUGUGAGAUUUUCUGGGCCAUGAGAGAGGCUAAGAAUGUCCUAAUUCCUGCAUGUGUCCCAUCCCUGCCUUGUGUGCUCCCUGCUGCUCGCCCAACCUGGCUGGCCGAUGCGUUCCAAGGAUGAGGUUCCUAUGGAGGAGGCUCCGGAGGGCAGGCCAGGGUUUCGAACUUCCAGGCACUACCUGUGAAAGGGAUGGAGACCCUCAGAGAGUCCCUAAUACUCCAAGCCUACACUUCCCGGGCCCCUAGCCAUAUGCCACAUUUGGAUCAGGCUGCAUACCAAGGGUGCCUGCCAUGGAGGGAGAGCUGCCAUGGGAUCUACCUGCCCACUCUCAGAAGAUGCUCACCCUGGGGGUCUUCUGGGCACACUUCUGCAGCAGCUCCUCUUUGGUUAGGAAGCUGUGGCCAUCAGAAUUCUGAAACAAUGGUUGAAGUGAGCGUAGGUUCAGGUCCAGCGCUCCUCCCCCUGCUAUGCGGUGGCCAGUUUGCAUGCUGUCCAGGCAUAUUUCUGUGAGCCUGCUGCUUUGCCCCACCCACGCGCCUGACUUGCUCACCAGGUGCUCCCUGUAGAGUUGCAGCAGGAUCUCUCGAGCACCUGAGUUCUGAGCUGGCCAAUAGCCAACACUGGUGCUUCCUGCUUGAGGCUGGGUGGGAACCUGAGAGAGACAGAGGGGCUCGCUGAAUUCCAAUGCCUGUCAGCUGAGGUUUCAGCAGGCCCCAUGGGCCUGGCGAGGGAGAUGAGGCUACAAGCCCUAGUAAAUCUGGAAUGUGAUGGUGGCCAGAGCAAAAGUUGGGGGUAUGGCCCAGGCCCAGGCCCAGCCCCAACCCCUGGAGAACAGUAACAUGGUACACGUCCCACAACUUCCUGGGCUGGAUCUUUUGGCAGCUCUCUUUGGGAGUCUGACUACCGUGAUCCCAAUAAUCCUACUUAGGAUUUAAGGUGGUGCCUCUCAAAGAGGGUAAGAGACUGUCCCAAGCCAAUCUCAAUCAAUAAGAGCUGGAUCCAGGGCUGUUCAACCCCUCAAACCAAGAAGUCUACAAUCAACGACCCCUCCCCCCAUUUAGCUUUCUACUUCCUUUCCCAAUCCUCACUGGCAUGGAAGAGUCCUGGACUUGCUCAGGUGGCCCUUUGCUGGCUCCCUUCUUUCCAGAUGGUGAGCUGGGGGCAUGGUCACCUAUAGAGAUCAGAAGAGAGUUAGUCCUGCACACAGUCUGGCUGCCCGGAGGAGCUUAGAUGGAGUUGCUCAGUGUGUGAAUUUGAGUGUCAUAUUUUAAAACGUUUUUGUGUUUUCUUG